UGGGGAAUUUUCCGCAAUGGGCGAAAGCCUGACGGAGCAAUACCGCGUGAGGGACGACGGCUUUUGGGUUGUAAACCUCUUUUCCCUGGGAAGAAGAUCUGACGGUACCAGGGGAAUCAGCAUCGGCUAACUUCGUGCCAGCAGCCGCGGUAAUACGAGGGAUGCAAGCGUUAUCCGGAAUUAUUGGGCGUAAAGCGUCCGCAGGUGGCUCUGUAAGUCUGUCGUUAAAGCGUGGAGCUUAACUCCAUAUCGGCGAUGGAAACUACAAGGCUAGAGUUUGGUAGGGGUCACGGGAAUUCUUAGUGUAGCGGUGAAAUGCGUAGAUAUUAAGAAGAACACCAGCGGCGAAAGCGCGUGACUGGGCCAAUACUGACACUCAUGGACGAAAGCCAGGGGAGCGAAAGGG
rnacentral:rRNA from 1 species